AAUAGAUACCCUGGUAGUCCAUGCCGUAAACGAUGUCUACUGGCCGUUGGGGCCCUUGAGGCUUUAGUGGCGCAGCUAACGCGAUAAGUAGACCGCCUGGGGAGUACGGUCGCAAGACUAAAACUCAAAUGAAUUGACGGGGGCCCGCACAAGCGGUGGAGCAUGUGGUUUAAUUCGAUGCAACGCGAAGAACCUUACCUGGCCUUGACAUACAGAGAACUUUCCAGAGAUGGAUUGGUGCCUUCGGGAACUCUGAUACAGGUGCUGCAUGGCUGUCGUCAGCUCGUGUCGUGAGAUGUUGGGUUAAGUCCCGCAACGAGCGCAACCCUUUUCCUUAUUUGCCAGCACUUCGGGUGGGAACUUUAAGGAUACUGCCAGUGACAAACUGGAGGAAGGCGGGGACGACGUCAAGUCAUCAUGGCCCUUACGGCCAGGGCUACACACGUGCUACAAUGGUCGGUACAAAGGGUUGCUACUGCGCGAGCAGAUGCUAAUCUCAAAAAGCCGAUCGUAGUCCGGAUCGC
rnacentral:rRNA from 1 species